UGACUGAUAGACUUUCUGUUUUGGCUUAAAUGAAUUGAUAGAUAAGGUUUUCUGGUCUUGAGCCCUUCUAGACACAAAAAAUACACUUGUAGAGCUUCGAUUUGAUAUGUUGCACGCCCUGAAUAGACAUCAUCCAGUCAUCGAAAAAUACCGACAAAGUCUGUCAAUUCUGCAGUAGUUUUUUAGGUUGAUUUGCUGUUUUGACCUACUGCAAUUUUCUGUUUUAACUGGAUCGAGCUGGAAGAUGAUGUUAUUAGGACUUAAUGUCUUCUAGAGAUUUGUAAUAGGCUUCUCAAAAUUUCCAUUGACAUAUUAUAUGUGCGAUUUGGUCAUCAUUUCCCCUGCCUUUCCUUUUUUCAAAUCGAGCUUUGAAAUCUGGAAUUUGUCUUGAACUGCAAUGUUGUCUUUUAUGUGGCUAGUUGUUGUUAGUCUUAAGAUGAGAUAGUAGAUUUGUCCAAAUUGCUUUCAAUAUGUUGUAGAAUGACGGUGUGACAUGCUACUAUGAUCUAUUCUUGAUUGACUUGUUCAUGUUCUUAAUAUUUUUAGAAAUUCAUGCGUUAGGAAUCUUGAGGCGCUUCUUUCAUGGAAUGACAUCCUUUAUCAAUUGUCUACAAAACGGUUUUAGGUACCAUGUGGGUUACACAUUGAUUGCUCUGUUUGCCUUAAAUACAUAUGUUGAGUGAAUUCAAUGGUGCGUGUUUUGGAAUAAGUGAUCUUUAGUUGGUUCAUUCAUUGUUUUGGGUUGAUUGAGGACCAAGGUCAU
rnacentral:lncRNA from 1 species